rnacentral:lncRNA from 1 species
CGAAACACAGGAAUUACACCACGAUUAUGCACCCUGUGAAAAACCUGAGUGGCAAACCGUGCGUCCACAGAGUGCCAGGGAAGGUUCCUGAGCUGACCGGGAGGAGCAUUAUGUUAUGCGAGGAGGGCAACAAGUACUGCAGAAGAAAUAACUGAACGAAGCGCACGAGGGUAUGAAAAUGGAAAUCACUGCUUCGAACCGCUCCAAAGUGCAAAUGUUGUACAUCAGUUUGCAUUAGCGAAAGCCAGGGAAACCGGCCAUGAGAAAUGACAUCUGACACCAAUCGCUUCGAAGGUGGACGGCUGCUGAUGGGAAGACAGCAAGCACUGAAUAACAAGUAAAGAAGAAGCAGUGAACUCAGUAGAGAGGAACUGGAAGAAAACCACGACUCUGACGUACAGUUCCUUACGUAGCCAAAAAUCAAGUCAGAGAUUUUAUUGAUGUCUGCAUAAGAGACAUCAAGUCACGGUCCGAAGCAGUGAUUGAGCACCUGGUGGAAGGCAGGGCCAAGCCAGGGCCAACCCAGGUGAACGCAAUGCAGCCAAUUAGAAGGGGUGGAGCCAGGAUCCACCCCUUCCCAGACCUCAUUUAAGGGCCAGCAGGGGGAGGAGAAAGACUGUCUUCUAGAGCUCUCUGCACCUCUUGAGGAUUUUACAGGUCUUGUAAAGGUAAGGAGUUUCUUUCUUUUCUGCAUCCGCUGCUGCUGCACCUCACUUCUCUGUUGUUGCCACUGCACUGUUGCCCCCAGCUAUCAAGCAUUGUAUAGUCCAACGGUGCUCACCCGUGCCCGGCAGAAGUCCUCUUACGGAUAUAAAUGUAAGAUGUGAAUGCAAAUUACAGCACAGCUAUGUGGAAAAGUUUUCACAAGUACGUAAUAAUGCGUGCAUACUUAGAUAUAGCCAUGCGACAAAGUCUAUAGCUAGCAGCGGUGACUAUGUUGAAAAGCAGAGCAAGUUCUCAGCCACAAAACACUAUCAAAUAGUGUUCUUGUGCUCUUUUUAUUCACUGUAGUUUCUGUAGAAAUAAAGAGGAGGCAUUGCUUCCAGGGUAAUCCAUGUAACUAUAGGGGAAGAUGGAAGUCAACAGAGUCAUGGAGUGAGAUGUUACUCAUCGCAGCUAUUGUAAAGGAUUUCUCCAGAGGCUAUAAUGUCCUUGAUGAACUUACUCAUUGUAUCUCAUUUUGUACGCAGCCAAAGUGGUAUGUUAUUCCACAGAUACCUGUACUUCCAUGGUUUGCAUUAGGUCCUGACUAGACUAGCCGUCCUCCAGGGGCAGCAUGUUCCUGUGGGGGACUCUCAGUGCUCUGUAAUGCAGUGCUUAGGGCUAUCAGCUUCUCCAAGAGAGAGAGCUUCUCUCUGAGGAUGCUG